CGACAACACCACAUUUCUUGAAUAUAUUGAGAUCAGUAAUUGCAAUGAUCUUGUAUCUUUACCUGAUGGCUUGCACAAGCUCAUCAAUCUCCAUGAGAUUAGUAUAAUCAACUUACCAGCUCUUGUUUUCUUCCCAUGGGGAGGGUUGCCCACCACGUAUUUGAAAAAUUUUCGGGUCGAAGGCUGUGAGAAACUUCAGUCCCUUCCUGAUAGUGUGCACAACCUCACAACUCUUCAAGAACUAGUUAUUCAUGAUUGUCCAUGCAUUGAAUCCCUUCCAGAAGAAGGCUUGCCUAUCAAACUAAAUUCACUUUGGGUUUGCAAUCUCAAAUUAUCAAAGUCACUUUUUGCAUGGGGUUUACACAGACUCACUUCUCUUAGAUCACUCUGUAUCGAAGGCGGUUGUCCGGAUGUGGUGUCAUUCCCAAAUGAUGAGACAGGAAUGUUGCUGCCUUCCUCUCUGGUUGAUUUGGCCAUUAAAGACUUACCAAAUCUGAAAUACCUCUCCACCAAUGGGUUUCAAAACCUUGCCACACUUCAAGUUCUGUGUGUUCGGAAUUGCCCCAAGCUAGCGUUCUUUCCUAAGAAGGGUCUGCCUCUCUCACUUUUGCAGUUGUAUAUCUUUGAUUGUCCUUUGCUAAAACAGAGGUGUCAAAAGGAUAAAGGGCAAGAGUGGACCAAGAUAGCCCACAUUCCACGCGUUCAGAUAGAUUGGAGAUCUGCCUUCGAGCCAGAGGAUGAAGCCCGAUCCUGAGCUCUAAAGAAUAAAGGGACGCAAGAAUGCCUGGCACAAUUGUAGAACUAACUUUUCAUUGAACCGCCUCUAAAAUAUGAUGCAUUGCAACUGACAAGCCAAUCCAGUCCCAAAGCAGAGUUUCAAAUUUUGUUUUGCUGAUUGACUUUGUCUUUGAAUACUUGUUUUUUAUACAAGCAACAAGGGAAGGAAGACAAUUUGAUUUUUCUGGCCACGUGACCUUUAAACGGAAAACUAAACGGGACAAUGAUUUUUCUGGAUGUCUAUUGACAUUGGCAUGCAUAAUCACUGGAAAUCCACACUUCUUCCAAUUGGUAGUCCAUAAGUGGUGGCUUGGCUGAUGAAUGAACCUAGAUUAGAAUUAUCACCACAUGUGUGUUGAGCCAGUGAGAAGUGUAUCACGUUGGUUUACUGAAGUAGAAUUGCAGGUAAAAACGUAAUAUAGUUCAUUUUAUUUUAGGCAAGCUGCAAGGUUAUGAUUACAUGUCCUUAAUAUUUUCUGUCAGUAUCAAUUUAAGGGGGAGGUUGAGAUGCCAUCUAGCGCUUGCAGCAGAAUGGUGUGGCAAAACUCUUUCACCUUGUUGAUGAUUAAGACUUUCAAAGGAGGACUCUUGCAGUGACUAUUAUGUUAAUAGAAGCAAUAUGAGAGAAUUUCCCCAAGUCAUCAACUUUUCAAGACAUUCUAACAAUCUUCCUUAACUCCAUUAAGCAGCUCCUAGCUCAGAUAUGAAUAGGUUUAUCAUAUACAAUUGGUUCAUGCCACUCAUUAGAGCUUAAGUCAUUCAAAUAGCAGGGCAGUCCAUAUAUUGAUUCAUGAUCAAGAAGAG
rnacentral:misc_RNA from 1 species